rnacentral:rRNA from 1 species
ACUCAAAGGAAUUGACGGGGACUUGCACAAGCGGUGGAUCAUGCGGCUCAAUUCGAUGACAAACGAAGAACCUCACCAGGGUUUGAAACUCUAACGAAACUCCUAGGAAACUAGGAGCCCCGAAAGGCGGUAGAGCAGGUGAUGCAUGGUCGUCGUCAGUUCGUGGCUUGAGUUGUUCCCUUCAGUGGGGUAACGAACGCAACCCACGUUGCCUGUUUUAUAUGUCAGGCGAGACUGCCCCCUCACGGGGGAGGAAGGUGUGGAUGACGCCAGAUCAGCAUGUCCCUCUGAUAUCCUGGGCUGCACGCAUGAUACAAUGCACUCGACAACGGGUUGCGACGGAGUAAUCCUGAGCUAAUCCUUAUAAACGAGUGCCCAGUUCGGAUUGAGGUCUGCAACUCGACCUCAUGAAGCCGGAAUCGCUAGUAAUCGCGGGUCAGCUAUACCGCGGUGAAUACGUUCUCAAGUCUUGUACACACCGCCCGU